GAUGAACGCUGACAGAAUGCUUAACACAUCAGCCAUUGAUUGGUGGCGGACGGGUGAGUAACGCGUAAAGAACUUGCCUCACAGCUAGGGACAACAUUUGGACACGACUGCUAAUACCUAAUACUGUGAGAGAGCUUUGCGUCCCAUUAGCUAGUUGGAGAGGUAACGGCUCACCAAGGCGAUGAUGGGUAGCAGGCCUGGGAGGGUGAUCGGCAACAAGGGGACAGAGACACGGCCCUGACUCCAACGGGGGGGAGGAGUGGGGAAUAUUGGACAAUGGACCACAGUCUGAUCCAGCAAUUCUGUGUGAACGAUAAAGUUUUCAGAAAGUAAAGUGCUUUCAGUAGUGAAGCGGUACCAACAGAAGAAGUGACGGCUAAAUACGUGCCAGCAGCCGCGGUAAUUC
rnacentral:rRNA from 1 species